CCAUUUUGAAAUCGCAUUAUUGCGAAAUAAAACGUCCCGUGUAGCAGCGUUAUUUUGAGAGAAAACCCUUCUCUCUAAAUAACUGUUACUCCUCAUACAAUGAGGUUUAAAAGUUAUUUCGAGAUAAGGGUUUUCUCUCAAAAUAACGCUGCUACACGGGACGGGGGCGUUUUAUUCCGCAAUAAUGCAAUUUCAAAAUGG
rnacentral:pre_miRNA from 1 species